CCUACGGGUGGCAGCAGUGGGGAAUAUUGGACAAUGGGGGGAACCCUGAUCCAGCCAUGCCGCGUGUGUGAAGAAGGCCCUCGGGUUGUAAAGCACUUUCAGUGAGGAAGAACGCCUGGUGGUUAAUACCCAUCAGGAAAGACAUCACUCACAGAAGAAGCACCGGCUAACUCCGUGCCAGCAGCCGCGGUAAUACGGAGGGUGCGAGCGUUAAUCGGAAUUACUGGGCGUAAAGCGCGCGUAGGUGGCUUGAUAAGCCGGUUGUGAAAGCCCCGGGCUCAACCUGGGAACGGCAUCCGGAACUGUCAAGCUAGAGUGCAGGAGAGGAAGGUAGAAUUCCCUGUGUAGCGGUGAAAUGCGUAGAGAUCGGGAGGAAUACCAGUGGCGAAGGCGGCCUUCUGGACUGACACUGACACUGAGGUGCGAAAGCGUGGGUAGCAAACAGGAUUAGAUACCCCGGUAGUC
rnacentral:rRNA from 1 species